GAUGAACGCUGGCGGCGUGCCUAAUACAUGCAAGUCGAGCGAACAGACGAGGAGCUUGCUCCUCUGACGUUAGCGGCGGACGGGUGAGUAACACGUGGAUAACCUACCUAUAAGACUGGGAUAACUUCGGGAAACCGGAGCUAAUACCGGAUAAUAUAUUGAACCGCAUGGUUCAAUAGUGAAAGACGGUUUUGCUGUCACUUAUAGAUGGAUCCGCGCCGCAUUAGCUAGUUGGUAAGGUAACGGCUUACCAAGGCAACGAUGCGUAGCCGACCUGAGAGGGUGAUAGGCCACACUGGAACUGAGACGCGGUCCAGACUCCUACGGGAGGCAGCAGUAGGGAAUCUUCCGCAAUGGGCGAAAGCCUGACGGAGCAACGCCGCGUGAGUGAUGAAGGUCUUCGGAUCGUAAAACUCUGUUAUUAGGGAAGAACAAAUGUGUAAGUAACUAUGCACGUCUUGACGGUACCUAAUCAGAAAGCCACGGCUAACUACGUG
rnacentral:rRNA from 1 species